CAAAGGGCUCACGGAGGAUACCUAGGCACAUAGAGGCGAUGAAGGACGUGGUUACCUGCGAUAAGUCUCGGGGAGUUGGAAGCACACUUUGAUCCGGGAAUUUCCGAAUGGGGCAACCCCUUGAACGACCAACUGAAUAUAUAGGUUGGUGCGAGCUAACCCAGCGAACUGAAACAUCUUAGUAGCUGGAGGAAGAGAAAGUAAAUAACGACUCCCUCAGUAGCGGCGAGCGAACGGGGAAUAGCCCAAACCGAUAGUCUUGACUAUCGGGGUUGUGGGACAGCAACAUGGAUCAAUAAGUCUAGAAGAAACGUUUGAAUGGCGUGCCAUAGAGGGUGAAAGCCCCGUAAUCGAAAGGCAAGUUGACCUAGCUGGAUCCCGAGUAGCACGGAGCACGUGGAAUUCCGUGUGAAUCUGCGAGGACCACCUCGUAAGGCUAAGUACUACUAUGUGACCGAUAGUGCAACAGUACCGCGAGGGAAAGGUGAAAAGAACCCCGGGAGGGGAGUGAAAUAGAACAUGAAACCGUGAGCUUACAAGCAAUGGGAGCCCGACUAAUCGGGUGACCGUGUGCCUGUUGAAGAAUGAGCCGGCGACUUAUAGGCACUGGCGGGUUAAACCGGAAAUGGUGGAGCCACAGCGAAAGCGAGUCUUAAUAGGGCGUUUGUCAGUGUUUAUAGACCCGAACCCUGGUGAUCUAACCAUGGCCAGGAUGAAGCUUGGGUGAUACCAAGUGGAGGUCCGAACCGACUGAAGUUGAAAAUUCAGCGGAUGAGCUGUGGUUAGGGGUGAAAUGCCAAUCGAACCAGGAGCUAGCUGGUUCUCCCCGAAAUACGUUGAGGCGUAGCGUCUAGUGCUCCAGCAGGGGGGUAAAGCAACCAUUUCGGUGCGGGCUGCGAAAGCGGUACCAAAUCGAUAUGAACUCUGAAUACCCUGUGUGUAACUAGGCAGUCAGACUGUGGGGGAUAAGCUCCAUAGUCAAGAGGGAAACAGCCCAGACCGCCAGCUAAGGUCCCAAAAUUAACACUAAGUGAUAAAGGAGGUGGGAUUGCCCAGACAACCAGGAGGUUUGCCUAGAAGCAGCCAUCCUCAAAGGAGUGCGUAAUAGCUCACUGGUCGAGCGAUCCUGCGCCGAAAAUGAAUGGGGCUAAGUGUUAUACCGAAGCUGCGGAUAAAUUUAUUUAUGGUAGGGGAGCGUUCUAUGUUGGGUGAAGCGUUAGCGUAAGCGGACGUGGACGGCAUAGAAGUGAGAAUGUCGGCUUGAGUAGCGAAAACAUGGGUGAGAAUCCCAUGCCCCGAAACCCUAAGGGUUCCUCCGGCAGGCUCGUCCGCGGAGGGUUAGUCUGGACCUAAGGCGAGGCCGAAAGGCGUAGUCGAUGGAUAACAGGUCAAUAUUCCUGUACCAGAUGUGUUUUGGGAAGGGGGACGGAGAAGGCUAGCCAAUCCAGAUGUUGGUUACUGGUUCAAGCGUCCGAGGCUUUGAGAGGUGGCGAAAACACCUUGAGCUGAGGCGUGAGUACGAGCUGCUACGGCAGCGAAGUUGGUGAUGUCAUGCUUCCAAGAAAAGCCCUAUACCCGUUAAGGCACAAAUGCCAGUACCCGAAACCGACACAGGUGGGGUGGUAGAGAAUACCGAGGGGCGCGAGAUAACUCUCUCUAAGGAACUCGGCAAAAUGGCCCCGUAACUUCGGGAGAAGGGGUGCCAGCGAGAGCUGGUCGCAGUGAAGAGGCGCAAGCGACUGUUUACCAAAAACACAGGUCUCCGCUAAGUCGCAAGACGAUGUAUGGGGGCUGACACCUGCCCAGUGCCGGAAGGUUAAGGAAGCUGGUUAGCUUUUAGCAAAGCUGGCGACUGAAGCCCCGGUGAACGGCGGCCGUAACUAUAACGGUCCUAAGGUAGCGAAAUUCCUUGUCGGGUAAGUUCCGACCCGCACGAAAGGUGUAACGAUUUGCGCGCUGUCUCGGAGAGAGGCUCGGCGAAAUAGAAUUGUCUGUGAAGAUGCGGACUACAUACACCCGGACAGAAAGACCCUAUGAAGCUUUACUGUAGUUUGAUAUUGUGCUCGGGCUCUGAAUGCGCAGAAUAGGUGGGAGACGUUGAAAUAGUGCUUGUGGGUACUAUUGAGUCAUCCGUGAGAUACCACUCUUUCAGAGCUAGGGUUCUAACGCUUACCCGUUAUCCGGGAAGCGGACAGUAUCUGAUGGGCAGUUUGACUGGGGCGGUCGCCUCCUAAAAGGUAACGGAGGCGCACAAAGGUUCCCUCAGGCUGGUUGGAAAUCAGUCGUUGAGUGCAAAAGCAGAAGGGAGCUUGACUGUGAGACCUACAAGUCGAACAGGGACGAAAGUCGGUUUUAGUGAUCCGACGGUUCUGCGUGGAAGGGCCGUCGCUCAACGGAUAAAAGUUACUCUAGGGAUAACAGGCUGAUCUCCCCCAAGAGUUCACAUCGACGGGGAGGUUUGGCACCUCGAUGUCGGCUCAUCGCAACCUGGGGCUGAAGUCGGUCCCAAGGGUUGGGCUGUUCGCCCAUUAAAGCGGUACGCGAGCUGGGUUCAGAACGUCGUGAGACAGUUCGGUCCAUAUCCGGUGUAUGCGCAGGAAUAUUGAGAGGAUUUCUCCCUAGUACGAGAGGACCGGGAGGAACGCACCUCUGGUGUGCCAGUUAUCGUGCCAACGGUAAACGCUGGGUAGCCAUGUGCGGAGUGGAUAACCGCUGAAAGCAUCUAAGUGGGAAGCCCACCUCAAGAUGAGUAUUCCCAUGGCAUAAGCCAGUAAGGUCACGGGAAGAACACCCGUUGAUAGGCUCUACGUGGAAGCUUGGUAACAAGUGCAGCGGAGGAGUACUAAUAGACCGAGGGCUUGACCU
rnacentral:rRNA from 1 species